AUGAACCUUCCUUCUGCUCCUCCUAUGUCUCUCUGGGGCAUUUCAACAAGCACCUUCUGUGCAUAUAAGGCAAGGAGGCGACGACAAGGGAAGAGCGACCUCCUGCACAGCACUCACCACGACCACCUGCGCGGCGGCCUCCUUCCAGCUCACGGCUGCGCUCAUGACCUGCCACGCGAGCUGGAGAUGAGCGGCUGCGCCGCCAGCACCGUCGCUGGCUUCCUCUGUCGCCGCCGUCGCCGACGCGGCGAUGGCGACCAGGAAGACCGCGGCGAGGCAGAGGCGGAAGAGGAGUGUGGCGAGGAAGACGAACAGCAGGACGCCCUGCAUGAACGACUCCACGCCGCCGGUGUCCGAGUGACUCGAGCUGUACAUGUACCAAGAGUCAAGAUAAUACGUCGGGACGGCCGUGGACGCGAGCUCCACGGCGGUGACCAGCGCGGCGCCGGCGAAGAGGCCGGGGUGUGCCGCGGACGAGCUCGGCCGGUCACCGCGAAGCAUGGCGCAGGCGGCGAGCGCGACGUCGGACAGAGUCGCGAGCUUGCUGGCGAGGUACGCUAG
rnacentral:rRNA from 1 species